rnacentral:lncRNA from 1 species
UGAUAUUUAUGUUCAUACCAGAAAUGGUAAUUUAAGACACAGGGAUAAGGGGUCAGAUAACAUGGAGAAAAGACAUGUCUUUUGCAGGUAUUACUAGCAGAGUGUUCUAGCAGAGGAAUUUGUUCUGCUAAGAGCUCUUACUAUAAUCUUUAUUUUCUCUUUAUUUAUAGGAAUUUUUGUUUGCUUCUUGGUUUGUUUUAUUUUCCCAGAGGUCAGGAUUCAAGAAUCAGAAAGUGUCCUCCCCAGGACCUCUCAGAGAAGCACAGAGGCGAUUUCAGGAGACACUGCCUUGCUCACAUCCAAGAUACGGGUGAUGUGAUGGGUUCACUGGUAAAGGAACCCCAGAAGGAAGAAUGAAAAUUAUCUGGGUGAUCUUGAGUUUGAAGUAAGUGCCCCUGGGUGAUGUCUAACAGGAAGUUGGAAAUGUGGGGCUGGGUGGACCUACAGA